ensembl:lncRNA microRNA 3179-1
ACGCCCAGCCAGGAUCACAGACGUUUAAAUUACACUCCUUCUGCUGUGCCUUACAGCAGUAGAAGGGGUGAAAUUUAAACGUCUGUGAUCCUGGGGUUGUUGAAGAUGCCACCCAUCUACAUAUUCUUUCAGAUGCACAAUAUUUCACUGUGUGAAUGAAACAGCAGCCCUUCUUACGUGUGCUUUUGGAAUUUGAAGAUUUUGUAAGAUAAGAUGAAUGCAUUGGAACAAGUGAUCCUCAAUUCUGUGCAGUCUGUGCCUCCGGAGACUGGCGGCUGCCCCUCCCUGUCUAGUCUUGCAAGAGAGGCAGCUGGCAAGAGGACAGAAGCCGGCAGCUGCUGCGUUUUCAUCCUGUUUCUGCUCUUGGAGCUGAGGGGGAGAGGUGGCUAGCAGCCACCCAGUGAUCAAACUUGCAGCCUGCCUCUCUUGCUUCCUUUUCACAGACUGGAGUGUGCCUGGGUAUGGAGAAAGAACAUUUUGCUUCUUGCCUCUCAGAGUUUCAAGAACGCCUCACCUGAGUGGCAUGCAUUCACGGAAUGAGUAAUUAUUACAGUGGAGAACUCCUCACUGUGAAUUAAUUACACAGAUGAUAUUCAAGACUUAGACUGGGCUAGUGCAGGGGUUAGCAAACUAUGGCCCACUGUUCUUGUUUUAUAAAUAAAGUGUUAUGAGCACA